rnacentral:misc_RNA from 1 species
GAAGUGCGAUAAGUAAUGUGAAUUGCAGAAUUCCGUGAAUCAUCGAAUCUUUGAACGCAAAUUGCACUCUCUGGUAUUCCGGAGAGUAUGCCUGUUUGAGGGUCAGUUAAAUAAAAAUCGGUGUUGCUGCUGCCUUGCGUGGUGACGCAUCGGAUUUGGGUCGUCUUACCUUCGGUUAAGUGACCUAAAAUUUUGCGUGAUUUUUCGAACGUAUUUAAAUGAUUUACGUACGUUUGCGAUAUCGAAUAUUAGGUGUGGUCAUUCUCAUGAUUCGCGCCCAUAAUUUUUCUCAUCAAAAUGACCUCAAAUCAGGUAAGAGUACCCGCUGAACUUAA